GGGCCCGCACAAGCGGUGGAGCAUGUGGUUUAAUUCGAUGCAACGCGAAGAACCUUACCAGGGUUUGACAUAUUACAAAUUCCUUAGAAACAAGGAAGUGCCUUCGGGAAUGUAAAUACAGGUGGUGCAUGGCUGUCGUCAGCUCGUGUCGUGAGAUGUUGGGUUAAGUCCCGCAACGAGCGCAACCCUUAUUUUUAGUUACAGACUUCGACUGCUUUCUAGAAAGACUGCCGGUGACAAACCGGAGGAAGGUAAGGAUGACGUCAAGUCAGCAUGCCCCUUAUAUCCUGGGCUACACACGUGCUACAAUGGCUAAUACAAAGAGUUGCAAACUUGCGAAAGUGCGCUAAUCUAAGAAACCUAGCCUAAGUUCAGAUUGGAGUCUGCAACUCGACUCCAUGAAGUUGGAAUCGCUAGUAAUCG
rnacentral:rRNA from 1 species